rnacentral:rRNA from 1 species
AUGACAGUCAAGCUGACUAAUAACAAACGGGUGGUCACAGGUGUUGUUGCAGACCACAAUCAUAGACUGAUUGACAAGCCAUAUCUCACUAAAUACCUCCGCUCUCACCCAGGCAUCCCACCGGAAGAGGUUGAGUUCCUGGAAAUAUUGCAUAGGUGCAACAUGGACACAGGUCGCAUGAUGACUGUUAUGUCUGAAUUCUAUGACCAAUCUGCAAUUGUUCCGUACAUGAAGAAAACGAUAAGCAACAUGAGAACUAGCCUUCGCAGUGCUGAGGCAAAUGAAGGUGACUUGGUUGGGACAGUUGCCUACUUCGAGCAAAAGCAGGAAGAAGACCCAGGCUUCUUCUUCAAAAUCAAAAAAGAUGGAAUAGGCAGAGCUAAGAAUUUGUUUUGGGUUGAUGGGAGGGCUUGA